UACGAAGGAGGCUAGCGUUGCUCGGAAUCACUGGGCGUAAAGGGUGCGUAGGCGGGUUUCUAAGUCAGAGGUGAAAUCCUGGAGCUCAACUCCAGAACUGCCUUUGAUACUGGAAGUCUUGAGUAUGGGAGAGGUGAGUGGAACUGCGAGUGUAGAGGUGAAAUUCGUAGAUAUUCGCAAGAACACCAGUGGCGAAGGCGGCUCACUGGCCCAUUACUGACGCUGAGGCACGAAAGCGUGGGGAGCAAACAGG
rnacentral:rRNA from 1 species